GGAUUUCUGUCGUGGUCAUCCGGCUCCGCCUGUAUAGGUGUGCGCCUGGUUUGCCCUCGGCUUUCUCCCGGUAGCCUACCGCGCUUCACUGCGUGCGUGGGUGUUUUCCGGAACUUUUACUUUGAGAAAAAUAGAGUGUUUCAAGCAGGCUUGUCGCCCUGAAUACUUCAGCAUGGAAUAAUAAGAUAGGACCUUGGUUCUAUUUUGUUGGUUUCUAGGACCAAGGUAAUGGUUAAUAGGGACAGUUGGGGGCAUUCGUAUUUAACUGUCAGAGGUGAAAUUCUUAGAUUUGUUAAAGACGAACUACUGCGAAAGCAUUUGCCAAGGAUGUUUUCAUUAAUCAAGAACGACAGUAGGGGGUUUGAAGACGAUUAGAUACCGUCGUAAUCUCUACCAUAAACUAUGCCGACUAGAGAUAGGGAAUGCAUUAUCCCAAUCUUCCCUGCACCUCAUGAGAAAUCAAAGUCUCUGGGUUCUGGGGGGAGUAUGGUCGCAAGGCUGAAACUUAAAG
rnacentral:rRNA from 1 species